CUACGGGAGGCACCAGGCGCGAAAAUUUUACAAUGUACGUAAGUGCGAUAAAGGAACUCCCAGUGCUCAUGUUUUGCAUGGGCUUUUGCCACGAGUAAAUAUCUUGGCGAAUAAGUGGUGGGUAAGACGGGUGCCAGCCGCCGCGGUAACACCUGCGCCACGAGUGGGAAUCACAUUUAUUGGGCCUAAAGCGUUCGUAGCCGGUUUGGUAAGUUCUAAGUGAAAUCGUUGCGCUUAACAAAACGACGUGCUUAGAAUACUGUCAAGCUUGGGACCGGGAGGAGCUAGGAGUAUUCCUGAGGGAGCGGUAAAAUGCUAUAAUCUCAGGAGGACUACCUGUGGCGAAGGCGCCUAGCUAGAACGGGUCCGACGGUGAGGAACGAAAGCCAGGGAAGCAAAGCGGAUUAGAUACCCGGGUAGUC
rnacentral:rRNA from 1 species